rnacentral:rRNA from 1 species
GACGAACGCUGGCGGCGUGCUUAACACAUGCAAGUCGAACGGAAAGGCCCUGCUUUUGUGGGGUGCUCGAGUGGCGAACGGGUGAGUAACACGUGAGUAACCUGCCCUUGACUUUGGGAUAACUUCAGGAAACUGGGGCUAAUACCGGAUAGGAGCUCCUGCUGCAUGGUGGGGGUUGGAAAGUUUCGGCGGUUGGGGAUGGACUCGCGGCUUAUCAGCUUGUUGGUUGGGUAGUGGCUUACCAAGGCUUUGACGGGUAGCCGGCCUGAGAGGGUGACCGGCCACAUUGGGACUGAGAUACGGCCCAGACUCCUACGGGAGGCAGCAGUGGGGAAUAUUGCACAAUGGGCGGAAGCCUGAUGCAGCAACGCCGCGGGCGGGAUGACGGCCUUCGGGUUGUAAACCGCUUUCGCCUGUGACGAAGCGUGAGUGACGGUAAUGGGUAAAGAAGCACCGGCUAACUACGUG